GGGGCCGUAACGGUUUCGACGCUUUGACGAAAGUCACUUUGUGAUCCAGGCCGAGAGAGAGUCUACUCUCGUUAAUCCAGGCUCAAACAAACGUAACUGCGAACAACAUCGUUCCAUUUGCUCGUAAGGCAGCUCCUGUUGCCGCUUAAUUAAAACAAUUUAGCGAGCGUUCAUGGUCUGACUCCGUUAAGGGCUGUGAACAAACCCCAACGGAUGCUCCUAGUGAUCCUCUCUGGUGGCCCACUAGGCUAAGAACCUACUAGAGAAUCCUACCGUCAGGGAUAAGUGACGGUUCCCGCCUAGAGGAUUAGAUAGGCUAUGCCUGUGAAUGAGUGGAGUGUUACUACUCGAAGCGGACACGGGUUCGACUCCCGUCGGCUCCAUUU
rnacentral:tmRNA from 1 species